AGAGUUUGAUCCUGGCUCAGGAUGAACGCUAGCGGCAGGCCUAAUACAUGCAAGUCGAACGGGCCGCAAGGCCAGUGGCAAACGGGUGCGUAACGCGUAAUCAACCUGCCCCCCACUGGGGUCUAGCUUCGCGAAAGUGGAGGUAAUCCCGCAUACGUCUUUCGGGUGGCAUCGUCUGAAAGAGAAAGAUUUAUCGGUGGGGGAGGGGAUUGCGUCUGAUUAGGUAGUUGGAGGGGUAACGGCUCACCAAGCCUGUGAUCAGUAGGGGCUCUGAGAGGAGGGUCCCCCACAUGGACACUGCGACACGGGUCCAACUCCUACGGGAGGCAGCAGUAGGGAAUAUUGGGCAAUGGGCGCCAGCCUGACCCAGCCAUGCCGCGUGCCGGAUGACGGCUCUUCGAGUUGUAAACGGCUUUUUUCAGCGAAGAACCGAUGCUCUGUGGGGCAUUCUGACGGUAGUUGAAGAAUAAGCACCGGCUAACUCCGUGCCAGCCGCCGCGGUAAUAC
rnacentral:rRNA from 1 species